CCCCACCCUGAAGAUCACCACUGAAACCUCUGGGACCCAUGUACGUGUGCAAGACAGAGUGAAUGUCACCUGCCACGUCCUCCACUUCUAUCCCGCCCACCUGCAACUCACCUGGAUGGAGAACAGGCGCAUGAUCCAGACCCUGGUGUCCCCUCAGGCCACCAGAAAUCCAGAUGGGACAUACUCUCUGGAGCACACGUGGCAGGCAGAGGCCACGCUGCAGGAGCGUGAGUUUGCUUGCUGGGUUCACGAUGAGCAGCCCCCACUCAAGGCCAACGUCACCCUGCAAGCCCAGGUGCGCAGGCAGGGGAAAGCCUUUAGCUUAAGCUAUGUCAAGGCUGUCUAUAGCAGUUGACUUCUGCUUUCUGCUGGGUCUUCAAUUCCUGUUCCUCCUGCCACAAAAGAGCAGUUGCUGAUGCUACUUUAGAAAGUGAAGUCAUUUGCCUUUUCGGAUAGAAUGAAGAAAGCCCGGAGGAGGCUGCAGAAUCUUUUCACAUGAACUAGAUGCUGCUCCUGGAGGCCUGGGUGUGACUGUGACGGAGACUCUGGAGCCACAGGAUAGACCAGGGAACUCAUUUUUCCUGCCAGCACUUCUUGCACCACCAUGUGAAGAGCGAUGU
rnacentral:lncRNA from 1 species